AGAAAGAAAAACCCCCAUGAAACACGGACUAUUUCAAGUGGACACACUUAUAAUAGAAGUCUUGAUCCAGUAUAACUGACCAACGAACCAAGUUACCCCAGGGAUAACAGCGCAAUCCCCUUCAAGAGUCCCUAUCGCCAAGGGGGUUUACGACCUCGAUGUUGGAUCAGGACAUCCUGAUGGUGUAGCCGCUAUCAAGGGUUCGUUUGUUCAACGAUUAACAGUCCU
rnacentral:rRNA from 1 species